rnacentral:sRNA from 1 species
UUCAGGCUCGGGUGUAAUGAAAAUCCUUUUGCUUUUUUCUUUAAAAAGCAAAAGAUUGUAAUGAAUAGCUGGAAAUAGC